UCAUAUGGUGAGAGACUGGCGUCCAGCCAACAGCCAGCAAGGAACUGAGGCUACUGAGGGAGUGAGCUUAAAAGCAGCAGAGACGUCUCGAGAGGACUGCUGCGGAAAUCGAGAGCUGGUCACAGCAUCAUGAGAAACCACGAGUCGGAAUCAUAGAGCCAGGCCAGUCCCAAAUCCUCACCCGUAAGAACUGCCCUGUCAAAUGACAAACGCUGGUGGAGUUCAGCCUCAACUCUUCGGAGACCCAGGAAGUGAAGACCCAGCCAGAACUAAAGUGGUGCCUCCCGUCCCAGAUGGAGACAGGUGCUGGAACGAUCCCCAGUACACAGAUGGGAAAACCCAGACCAGAGAGUAGCUUCUCCAAGGCCAAAUAGCCGGCGUACGGCAGCGACCGGGCGAGUCACCGCUUCGGAGCCGGGUUCUUACUCCCAUGCUCUCCCACCUUGCAGGAGUCCAGGUACCCGCCCUAUGGGAUCCGGAACUAUUUAGGCAUUCCUCAUGAGCACGAGCUUUUCAUCACAUUUCGUGUUAGAUCGGCCCCUGCAUGGCCUUUUGAUAAUUUCCCAUCAGAACAUCAGGAGACGAUUGUGGCAACUUUUGUCCAAAUCGUCUGGCCAGAGCCAUCCCUUGCUGGCAACUGACACCCAGAGAUGGGCGAAUAAGGUCACAGUGGCAAGUCAGCUAAU